CUACGGGUUGCUGCAGGCGAGAAAACUUUGCAAUGUGCGAAAGCACGACAAGGUUAAUCCGAGUGGUUUCUGCUAAAGGAACCUUUUGUCGGUCCUAGAAACACCGAUGAAUAAGGGGUGGGCAAGUUCUGGUGUCAGCCGCCGCGGUAAAACCAGCACCUCAAGUGGUCAGGAUGAUUAUUGGGCCUAAAGCAUCCGUAGCCGGCUCUGUAAGUUUUCGGUUAAAUCUGUACGCUUAACGUACAGGCUGCCGGGAAUACUGCAUAGCUAGGGAGUGGGAGAGGUAGACGGUACUCGGUAGGAAGGGGUAAAAUCCUUUGAUCUAUUGAUGACCACCUGUGGCGAAGGCGGUCUACCAGAACACGUCCGACGGUGAGGGAUGAAAGGUGGGGGAGCAAACCGGAUUAGAUACCCUGGUAGUC
rnacentral:rRNA from 1 species